GCGUUGUGGCUCCAUGGUAGAGCGCUUGCCUCACAUGUGUGAGGCACUGAGUUCGAUACUCAGCCCCAUGUA
rnacentral:tRNA from 1 species